AUUGAACGCUGGCGGAAUGCUUUACACAUGCAAGUCGAACGAUGAACCUUAGCUUGCUAGGGGGAUUAGUGGCGAACGGGUGAGUAAUAUAUCGGAACGUGCCCAGUCGUGGGGGAUAACUGCUCGAAAGAGCAGCUAAUACCGCAUACGCCCUGAGGGGGAAAGCGGGGGACCGUAAGGCCUCGCGUAAUUGGAGCGGC
rnacentral:rRNA from 1 species